GAAACAGCUGUGUCACUGUCUGCAGUACUGUGUUUAAAUGUGUGUGUGUUUGUUAGCUUACAGGCUGCAUGGUUCCUCCAGCGAUGAUCACAGCUCUGCACUCCUGGAGGAUCUGAGCGAAGUGAACCGCGGCGUUCAGCAGGAGAAACUUCAGGCUGCUCUGAGCUACACACGCUGCAGGAACACAGGAAACGAGCACAAUAAAUCAGACAGAUGGAUCAAGAUAAAAUACUCAGAGAAACCAGUGUAUCACUCAGCUGACCUCCGAGUGUCCGCACCAGACCCUCCAGCACAAAGAGGAUCUGCUUGAUGUACAUCAGGCAAUCCCAUACUGCCUCUUUAAUAUUAUAUUAAGGUGUGGACUCUGUGGACUCUUCGGCUUAGUCCCUUUAUUAAUCUGGGGUCGCCACAGCGGAAUGAACCGCUAACUUAUCCAGCAUAUGUUUUACACAGCGGAUGCCCUUCCAGCUGCAACCUAUUGCUGGGAAACAAUCAUACACACUCAUUCACACACAUACAUUUUUGGACUUGGUGGGGAAACCCACGUCAACACGGGGAAAACAUGCAAACUCCACACAGAAAUGCCAAAUGAUCCAGCCGGGGCUCGAACCAGUAACCUUCUUGCUGUGAGGCAAUUGUGCUACCCACUGCACCACUGUGCUGCCCUUAGCUGUUUUUGUCUAUAAAUAUCAUGAAUAUCUAUAAAUAUGAGAUAAUUUCAUAAUCAGUAGAAUUAUCUCUAAAUAUCAUUACUGUUCAUGUAAGAAGCGAGAGAUUAUCAUUCUAGAUUAUAAAUAAUUAUAUUAUUAUAAUUACUACAUUAAAAUGACAAAUCUAAUGGUGGCCAAAGACUUUUCCGCCAACUUAUCUAGCAUAUGUUUUAUGCAGCGGAUGCCCUUCCAGCCACAACCCAACACUGGGAAACACCCAUACACUCUUGCAUUUACACACAUACACUACGGCCAAUUUAGCUUCUUCAAUUUACCUAUACCGCAUGUCAUUGGACUGUGGGGAAAACCGGAGCACCUGGAGGAAACCCACACCAACACGGGGAGAACAUGCAAACUCCACACAGAAAUGCCAACUGACCCAGCCGAGGCUCCAACCAGCGACCUUCUUGCUGUGAGGCGAUCGUGCUACCCACUGCGCCACCGUAACGCCUUAUAUAUGUAUAUAUAUAUUGCAUAAAAUAACUAAGA